GACUUAAUGAGAAUGUUGGCUCUCCUUGCAGAAGACAAGAAGGACAUUUGCUAAUGAAGACUGUGGAAGAUGCAGCAGCUUUUUUAUGAGAAUUAUGAGCAGAACAAAAAGGGGUACAUUAGAGAUCUCCAUAACAGUAAAAUUCACCAAGCUAUCACAUUACACCCCAACAAAAACCCACCCUACCAGUACAGGCUCCACAGCUACAUGCUGAGCCGCAAAAUAGCCGAGCUCCGCCAUCGCACAAUACAGCUGCACCGUGAAAUUGUCCUGAUGAGCAAAUACAGCAACACAGAAAUUCAUAAAGAGGACCUCCAGCUGGGAAUCCCUCCUUCCUUCAUGAGGUUUCAGCCCCGCCAGCGGGAGGAGAUUCUGGAAUGGGAGUUUCUGACUGGAAAAUACUUGUAUUCGGCAGUUGACGGCCAGCCCCCUCGAAGAGGAAUGGACUCCGCUCAGAGGGAAGCCUUGGACGACAUUGUCAUGCAGGUCAUGGAGAUGAUCAAUGCCAACGCCAAGACCAGAGGGCGCAUCAUUGACUUCAAGGAGAUCCAGUACGGCUACCGCCGGGUGAACCCCAUGUAUGGGGCUGAGUACAUCCUGGACCUGCUGCUUCUGUACAAAAAGCACAAAGGGAAGAAAAUGACGGUCCCUGUGAGGAGGCAUGCGUAUUUACAGCAGACUUUCAGCAAAAUCCAGUUUGUGGAGCAUGAGGAGCUGGAUGCACAGGAGUUGGCCAAGAGAAUCAAUCAGGAAUCUGGAUCCUUGUCUUUUCUCUCAAACUCCCUGAAGAAGCUUGUCCCCUUUCAGCUCCCUGGGUCGAAGAGUGAGCACAAAGAACCCAAAGAUAAAAAGAUAAACAUACUGAUUCCUUUGUCUGGGCGUUUCGACAUGUUUGUGAGAUUUAUGGGAAACUUUGAGAAGACGUGUCUUAUCCCCAAUCAGAACGUCAAGCUCGUGGUUCUGCUUUUCAAUUCUGACUCCAACCCUGACAAGGCCAAACAAGUUGAACUGAUGCGAGAUUACCGAGUUAAGUACCCGAAAGCCGACAUGCAGAUACUGCCUGUGUCUGGAGAGUUUUCAAGAGCUCUGGCCCUGGAAGUAGGAUCUUCCCAGUUUAACAAUGAAUCUUUGCUCUUCUUCUGCGACGUCGACCUCGUGUUUACUACAGAAUUCCUUCAGCGAUGUCGAGCAAAUACAGUUCUGGGCCAACAAAUAUAUUUUCCAAUCAUCUUCAGCCAGUAUGACCCAAAGAUUGUUUAUAGUGGGAAGGUUCCCAGUGACAACCAUUUUGCCUUUACUCAGAAAACUGGCUUCUGGAGAAACUAUGGGUUUGGCAUCACGUGUAUUUAUAAGGGAGAUCUUGUCCGAGUGGGUGGUUUUGAUGUUUCCAUCCAAGGCUGGGGGCUGGAGGAUGUGGACCUUUUCAACAAGGUUGUCCAGGCAGGUUUGAAGACGUUUAGGAGCCAGGACGUAGGAGUAGUCCACGUCCACCAUCCUGUCUUCUGUGAUCCCAAUCUUGACCCCAAACAGUACAAAAUGUGCUUGGGGUCCAAAGCAUCGACCUAUGGGUCCACACAGCAGCUGGCUGAGAUGUGGCUAGAAAAAAAUGAUCCAAGUUACAGUAAAAGCAGCAAUAAUAAUGGCUCAGUGAGGACAGCCUGAUGUCCAGCUUUGCUGGAAAAGACGUUUUUAAUUAUCUAAUUUAUUUUUCAAAAAUUUUUUGUAUGAUCAGUUUUUGAAGUCCGUAUACAAGGAUAUAUUUUACAAGUGGUUUUCUUACAUAGGACUCCUUUAAGAUUGAGCUUUCUGAACAAGAAUGUGAUCAAUGUUUGCCUUUGAACACAUCCUCUUGCUGAACAUUAUGUAGCAGACCUGCUUAACUUUGACUUGAAAUGUACCUGAGGAACAAAACUUUUUUUAAAAAAUGUUAUCUUUUGAGACCCUUGGCU
rnacentral:sRNA from 1 species